rnacentral:rRNA from 1 species
AGAGUUUGAUCAUGGCUCAGGAUGAACGCUAGCGGCAGGCUUAACACAUGCAAGUCGAGGGGUAUAGGUUUUCGGACCUAGAGACCGGCGCACGGGUGCGUAACGCGUAUGCAAUCUACCUUUUACAGAGGGAUAGCCCAGAGAAAUUUGGAUUAAUACCUCAUAGUAUUAUUGAAUGGCAUCAUUUAAUAAUUAAAGUCACAACGGUAAAAGAUGAGCAUGCGUCCCAUUAGCUAGAUGGUAAGGUAACGGCUUACCAUGGCAACGAUGGGUAGGGGUCCUGAGAGGGAGAUCCCCCACACUGGUACUGAGACACGGACCAGACUCCUACGGGAGGCAGCAGUGAGGAAUAUUGGUCAAUGGGCGCAAGCCUGAACCAGCCAUGCCGCGUGCAGGAUGAAGCAUCUAUGGUGUGUAAACUGCUUUUGUACGAGAAGAAACACUCCUACGUGUAGGAGCUUGACGGUAUCGUAAGAAUAAGGACCGGCUAACUCCGUGCCAGCAGCCGCGGUAAUACGGAGGGUCCAAGCGUUAUCCGGAAUCAUUGGGUUUAAAGGGUCCGUAGGCGGUUUUGUAAGUCAGUGGUGAAAGCCCAUCGCUCAACGGUGGAACGGCCAUUGAUACUGCAAGACUUGAAUUAUUGGGAAGUAACUAGAAUAUGUAGUGUAGCGGUGAAAUGCUUAGAGAUUACAUGGAAUACCAAUUGCGAAGGCAGGUUACUACCAAUAUAUUGACGCUGAUGGACGAAAGCGUGGGGAGCGAACAGGAUUAGAUACCCUAGUAGUCC